GACGAACGCUGGCGGCGUGCCUAAUACAUGCAAGUAGAACGCUGAAGGAGGAGCUUGCUUCUCUGGAUGAGUUGCGAACGGGUGAGUAACGCGUAGGUAACCUGCCUGGUAGCGGGGGAUAACUAUUGGAAACGAUAGCUAAUACCGCAUAAUAGCAGUUGUUGCAUGAUAACUGUUUGAAAGGUGCAAUUGCACCACUACCAGAUGGACCUGCGUUGUAUUAGCUAGUUGGUGGGGUAACGGCUCACCAAGGCGACGAUACAUAGCCGACCUGAGAGGGUGAUCGGCCACACUGGGACUGAGACACGGCCCAGACUCCUACGGGAGGCAGCAGUAGGGAAUCUUCGGCAAUGGACGGAAGUCUGACCGAGCAACGCCGCGUGAGUGAAGAAGGUUUUCGGAUCGUAAAGCUCUGUUGUAAGAGAAGAACGAGUGUGAGAGUGGAAAGUUCACACUGUGACGGUAUCAUACCAGAAAGGGACGGCUAACUACGUG
rnacentral:rRNA from 1 species